rnacentral:ncRNA from 2 species
GUGUUAGCCUUGAGUUAAGAUGCCGUACGGCUUAAUAGGGAAUCUGGUGAAAAUCCAGAACUGCCCCCGCAACUGUAAAUGCUGACGAAAUGAGCGAUGACCACUGUAUAAGUUUCUUAUGAAAAUAGGUGCUUAUGCGGGAAGGGCUCAGAGUAGGAGGAAGCAUAAGUCAGGAGACCUGUCCUAAUUUGAGAUGUUUC